ensembl:lncRNA
AUGCUGUCUGUUACUCUUUGCUUAAAUCAUCCAGAAGUAAGGAAAAUCAUCAGACAUAAAACAUGUACCUUGCCGUUACUGUUUAACUCAAAUUUCACAAGCAAUUUUCUGAGUAUAGCACUGGAUCAACAUCACACAUGGAAUAUAUUUGUAAAGAGACAGGCAGGAUUAUGUCAUACCCAGAAGGGAUAAUAAUCAGGUAACAAGCCUGCAUUUGCUGUAUUAAUCAUAUUUUUGUGACUGAGAGAAUUAAGAAUAGAGUUGGUUAAUAUACUCAAGUUGACCUUGUUCUCAGUCUCUAAUUUUGGUGUUUGAAAUCUGUUGACCUGUCGGCGCAUUGUGUCAUUGAUAAAGUAAGGCUAAUCAUGCUUAAUACCUCCUCAUUGGCUUAGAGCUUUGGAAAGUAAAAUUUCACAUUUUGCAUGUUAACUUGAAAACUUUUAUACUGUUCAGGUGCUAAUGGCUUUCUCUGGCAAAGAAAACUAAAGCAUACCCUCUUAUGAUGAUUUAAAGUUUUUUUUCCUUAAGAUUUUGUUUUGACAUGUAUACAUUGCUUUAUUUGUUUUUAUUUUUGGCUGCUCUGGGUCUUCAUUGCUGUUCAUGUGCUUUCUCUAGUUGCGGGAGCAGGGGCUACUCUCUAGUUGCAAUGCAGGGACUUCUCAUUUUGAUGGCUUCUCUUGUUGUGGAGCACAGGCUCUAUGUGCACAAGCGUCAGUAGGUGCAGAACACAACUUUAGUAGCUGUGACUUGCCUGCUCUAGGAUGUGUAGGCUUCAUAGCUGUGGCACUGGGGCUCAUUUGUUGUGGCUGAUGGGCCCUAGAGCCUGGGCUCAGUAGUUUCGGUGCAAAAGCCCAGUUUGCUCCACGGCGUGUGAAAUCUUCCCAAACCAGGGAUCGAACCUAUGACCCCUGCGUUGGCAGGCAGAUUCUUAUCCACCAUGCCAUUAGGGAAGUCCUGAUUUGAAGAAGAUUUUAAGUGAAUAAUUACAUUAAUAUUUUAAGUCAAUUGCACAUCAUAUUUAUAUCAUAAUAUUUAGGGUUGUUAGCAUUAAGUAAAAAUUAAAAUGUAGAUAUUAAGGGUAUUAAGAUUGAGGGAAAUGAUAAAAUGCAGUUUUAAGGAGACUAUUUGGUUUUAGGUAAGAUAAUGUUACAUUACACCUGGUAAAAGGAAAUUUAGUAAAAUUUUUCGGUACAGUUUAGCAUCAAAUUGGAAAUGAGAAUGACUAGAAAUGAUCAUGUUUUGUUAAUAAGCUUUUGGGAUAAAUUUUAUGGAGUAAUUGUAUGAAACAAGGUAGUUGUAAUACUCGUCAAAAACCUAUCAGUUGAACUAGAGUUAUAAGUGCUGUACUAAUAAGAUAUUACUAUUUGUCAAUCUAAAAAUCAUAUAAUAGUGAUGCUAUAAUUGAUAAAAGUCAAGAGUUUGAAAAGUCAUGGAUGAACAGUCUUUCUAUUAAGAAAUGGUCCANNNNNNNNNNNNNNNNNNNNNNNNNNNNNNNNNNNNNNNNNNNNNNNNNNNNNNNNNNNNNNNNNNNNNNNNNNNNNNNNNNNNNNNNNNNNNNNNNNNUUAAGAAAUGGUCCAUUUCCUAAAUGAUACUUCAUUGCAAAGCAGUUGUACAUGUCUGUCAAUGUCAGCUUGCAUAUAGAGAAGAGUACAGGAUAGGGUAGAAUGUGUGUUUCUUUUUAAAUUAAACAAUGUAGACUUUAUAGCCAUUUCUCAUUUUUUCUUUUUAACAGAACGCCACUUUUGUUCAGGCACUGGAGAGCCAAAUACUAAAGGUCAUAUAUUUUAGAGUGUAUGUACCUGGGGCUAAUUUUGUUCAGCUAAGCCUAUGAUUAUAAUUCAGUUUUCAUGCUGAUAGCUGAAACAUGUGGUUGACUUCUGGCUCAAUAGAGAUGAGGGAAAAUCUGCAAGGAGGGUUCUGGAAAAGACUUAUUCUCACUGAUAGCAAAAAAAUGUAGAGGCAAAAUAAGUCUUCUCUCUGAUGGAUUCUUUUGUGACACCUGAAACUUUGGCACUCAUUUGGGAACAGGACUUGAGCCAACAUUAAAGACUUAGUCAACAUACAUGUAGGCAGAGAAAAAUCAUAGAAAGAAUGACUCAUUAUGAUGUAAUGUAUCCACUAAAUUAGCCAGUCAUUCUGACUCUGAUCUUUUUAGCUGCAAUAUGAAAUUUCUAUACUGCCGAGUUAGCUUGUUUGGGUUCUUCUCUAGCUUGCAUAUAGUUGAUACUU